UAACCUGCCCAAGAGAUCGGGAUAACACCUGGAAACAGAUGCUAAUACCGGAUAAUAACAGAUGAUGCCUAUCAACUGUUUAAAAGAUGGUUCUGCUAUCACUCUUGGAUGGACCUGCGGUGCAUUAGCUAGUUGGUAGGGUAACGGCCUACCAAGGCGAUGAUGCAUAGCCGAGUUGAGAGACUGAUCGGCCACAUUGGGACUGAGACGCGGCCCAAACUCCUACGGGAGGCAGCAGGC
rnacentral:rRNA from 1 species